CGAGGGAGAGGAGGCGGCCGGGUGCGGAGGGGCGAGGUAUAGGGAUCUUGCUGGCGGGGCAGUGACCCUGCCCGUGCGGGAGCCACACAUCGAAUCAUUCACGCCUGGGGGUUGGCACGGCCUCGGCGAGCACCUUUCGCCAGCGGACGAAGGGUUAACGCGCCGGCGGUGAUCGUGGGUCCCGGAUGUGGGAGCCCCGGCCCGGCGUUCGCCGGCCGCGCUGCAGGUGCGCCAGAGCGGGCGGAACGAGGUGUCUGGCAGCGACCUGACCGGCCGGUCGAGGCUCCUUGUCACCUGCAGGGGCCACUCGGCUUCCUCCGUGGGCGCCUUGUUUUCUAACUUAAGGGCAACAGGUGGUGCCUGUGGACCGAGGGAGAGCCCUGCUCGGCCGCACUGGGAGCGGCAGUUAUUCUCACCAAUUAGGGCACUGGGGCGUGUGUGUAUUGGACGCGCUGACGCGGGUGACCAAUGGGACUUGGGCUCGUGGGUGGGCAGUGAGGAGUGGGCGUGGUCAGAGUCCGAAGCUACGGUUUCUAGUGCAGCAACUGCCAGAACUGCGUGGAGAGCUAAGCUGAGCGGUCGUGGGGUGCUUUUCUCUCCAACCCCGUGCGUGAAAAACGUCUAACAAAUGCUUUCCUAUUUGGAUCCAGACUCCAGUUCCGGAGCAGUCUUGUAGCUGGAUCCCCUAGGAAGAGAAAUUCUGAAGCAGUAAGAAGAAAGCAUUUCAAUUUGGAACACUAAUUUGCACCUGGAAAUGGGGAAUGGACUGUCAGACCAGACUUCUAUCCUGUCCAGCCUGCCUUCAUUUCAGUCCUUUCACAUUGUUAUUUUGGGUUUGGACUGUGCUGGAAAGACAACUGUAUUAUACAGGCUGCAGUUCAAUGAGUUUGUAAAUACUGUACCUACCAAAGGAUUUAACACUGAAAAAAUUAAGGUAACCUUGGGAAAUUCUAAAACAGUCACUUUUCACUUCUGGGAUGUAGGUGGCCAGGAGAAAUUAAGGCCACUGUGGAAGUCAUAUACCAGAUGCACUGAUGGCAUUGUGUUUGUUGUGGACUCUGUUGAUGUUGAAAGAAUGGAAGAAGCCAAAACUGAACUUCAUAAAAUAACCAGGAUAUCAGAAAAUCAGGGAGUCCCUGUACUUAUAGUUGCUAACAAGCAAGACCUGAGGAACUCAUUGUCUCUCUCAGAAAUUGAGAAAUUGUUAGCAAUGGGUGAACUGAGCUCUUCCACUCCCUGGCAUUUGCAGCCCACCUGUGCAAUCAUAGGAGAUGGACUGAAGGAAGGACUUGAGAAACUACAUGAUAUGAUAAUUAAAAGAAGAAAAAUGUUGCGGCAACAGAAAAAGAAGAGAUGAAUGGUAAUACCUUUUCUAUCUGUGUGGAGUAGGUUUUCUCCAGUCUGAUUUUGACAAAUGGAAGAGUGUCUACAGCCUGGUUUGCCUGCCUGCCCUCCUGGAUGCUGAUAAAGCUUUGUUUUGUUGAACAAUCAGAUGCCCAACUCUUUUGCCUUGUGGAAGAUGCGUAAAUGCAGUGCUUCUUAAAAUGGUCUCUUCUCCCUACCCCACAAAUCUUUUGGUACUACCAUUCUGGGAAGCCAAGCAUGGAUAGCAAAUUGACCAGAAAACACUUGUGGAAAUUUGACCUGAAGUUAGUGAAAUAAAACUUUGAAGAGUAUCUGCCUAGUGUUUUGUAUUUGCAUCUUUUGGGGGGAAGCCUUUACGAGUAAAUUACAAUAGAAGGCUCUGUAUGUUAAGAUGAAAUGCUAAUGAAUGGAAAUGUUAAGGUAGAUUAAUAUAUAUACAGUUGUAUUGAUCACAUUGGUCCAACCAGUAAGGGAUAAGGAGGAAGUGUUUGUUUUUUUAAGUUUUGGCCAAAUGCAUUUUGACAUUUUCUGGAAUCAAAUGAUGUAAUGCUCUAUCUUAAUUCUGGGCAAUGUUUUAAAUUGGUCUAACUUAAAAUAAUAAAAAUAAGGUAUUGGCA